GAUCGGUCGCCUUGUAACAGCAGGACAUGAACCUCGUCAGGUCCGGAAGGAAGCAGCGAUAAGUGAUCUCUUCUGUGUCAAGGAUCGAUCCCGAUCA
rfam:Desulfotignum phosphitoxidans DSM 13687 Dpo_7c, whole genome shotgun sequence.